UACGGGGGGGGCAAGCGUUGUUCGGAAUUACUGGGCGUAAAGGGCUCGUAGGCGGCCAACUAAGUCAGACGUGAAAUCCCUCGGCUUAACCGGGGAACUGCGUCUGAUACUGGAUGGCUAGAGGUUGGGAGAGGGAUGCGGAAUUCCAGGUGUAGCGGUGAAAUGCGCAGAUAUCAGGAGGAACACCGGUGGCGAAGGCGGCCCGCUGGGCAGUGACUGACGCUGAGGCGCGACAGCGUGGGGAGCAAACGGG
rnacentral:rRNA from 1 species